ACAAAACUGCAAGUUUCAGUAAUUUAAAAAGGCAAAUCUUUCUUUGUUUUAAAGAGAACUUAAAGUGGUUUCUCUUGUCUAGCCAUUAUUUUACCAUUGCUAUCAGUCAAACAAGUUUCAUGAACCAGUUUCUAAGAAGAAUGUUGUUGUAAGUUCCUUGCACACACAACAAAACGGGGCGGGGGGGAGGGGAGAGUAGCUAUACUGGGAAUUCAACUUUUGAAUGAUGAUGAAAGAGAGAAAAAGAAUACUGCACAAGUAUUUUGGAAGGCCUUAUUAUUUCUACUUUUUAUCUUCAACCAAAUUUAAUGUACAUUUGGGGGGGCGGGGGAACUGUUGAACAAAUGGCAGUUUAAAUUAAGCUGUCCUGUACUAAUGUUUGGGCAUGCUCCAAAUUCUGGAUUCACAGUCAUGGUGUGUGUAUAUAUAUGAUCAUGUUACUGGACUUGAUGCAGGACUUGCUGUAUGAAGUUCUAUGGCCUUUGUUAUGCAGGAGGUCAAUUUAGAUGGUUAACUUAUGAUUCCUUCUGGCCUUAAAAAAAAAAAAAAUCUAUGCAUCUCUCUUUUUUCCCCCACCUUAUGCCUCCAGGUGCUCACCAGGCCAUUGAUUUCACCAUAGACACAUUUCAUAAAUGGGAAGAUUUGUGUUUGCCCCCUACCAUUAAAAGCAAAACAGACUGGGGCUGGAGUCUCUUCCCUCGAUUUUUCCGGCACAGUCCUCUAUUGCAGACUAUGUAGAGCUGCAUCGAGAAGGCAGAGUCCCUCCUGGAGCUCCCCAGUAUGCAGCAGGAUCACACAUGCUGCGUUAGGGGAUAAGGCAUACUUCCCACUGUGCAUCUGACCCAUUCUGCCAGCCUGUGCAGGAGCGGAGGCAGGGAGACAUCAUAGCCCCACCUUCACACUAGCUGGGAGCAGUCCCUACUCUGAAAAGAACUGCAGUUGUGCCCAGCUGCUAUACAGAAGUGCAACAGCGGUGUGUAUUGAACUUCUUGCCUCUUCCCUUACUUGAGCAGCUGGGCAUAAUCUGGUUUAUUGUAAAGGUUGAAGAACUGGGACUUUGAUAUCCAAGCUGCCCAUCACUGCAGAUUUUAUGCUAUUGGCAGUAGCAACUUCAUGCUAAUUUCCUCUGUAGAUUAAAGAAUGAGUGUUGGGCAUCUAUCUGAAAAAAAAAUAAUUGUGAAAAGGUUUGGCUUCCCUUAUUGUGUCAGCAUCCAGCUUGACAAAGUCUUAGUCAUGUGAGUAUCCUUUACUCACACAACUAGUCUUAUUGCUCUCAAGAAACCCUUCUCCUGGGAGAGGAGUGAUCAGGAUCAUGUCAUAAUGAAAGGGGGAGGGGGAAAAUACACUGCAGUUGUUAUACCAAUAGAAUAAAAACCAGCAGGAUCUUAUUAAGAGGGAUAAG
rnacentral:lncRNA from 1 species